rnacentral:rRNA from 1 species
GAUGAACGCUGGCGGCGUGCCUAAUACAUGCAAGUCGAGCGAACGGACGAGAAGCUUGCUCCUCUGACGUUAGCGGCGGACGGGUGAGUAACACGUGGAUAACCUACCUAUAAGACUGGGAUAACUUCGGGAAACCGGAGCUACUACCGGAUAAUAUAUUGAACCGCAUGGUUCAAUAGUGAAAGACGGUUUUGCUGUCACUUAUAGCUGGAUCCGCGCCGCAUUAGCUAGUUGGUAAGGUAACGGCUUACCAAGGCAACGAUGCGUAGCCGACCUGAGAGGGUGAUCGGCCACACUGGAACUGAGACACGGUCCAGACUCCUACGGGAGGCAGCAGUAGGGAAUCUUCCGCAAUGGGCGAAAGCCUGACGGAGCAACGCCGCGUGAGUGAUGAAGGUCUUCGGAUCGUAAAACUCUGUUAUUAGGGAAGAACAGAUGUGUAAGUAACUAUGCACGUCUUGACGGUACCUAAUCAGAAAGCCACGGCUAACUACGUG